rnacentral:misc_RNA from 1 species
GAUGAAGAACGUAGCGAAAUGCGAUAAGUAAUGUGAAUUGCAGAAUUCAGUGAAUCAUCGAAUCUUUGAACGCACAUUGCGCCCCUUGGUAUUCCGAGGGGCAUGCCUGUUCGAGCGUCAUUAUAACCCCUCAAGCACAGCUUGGUGUUGGGGCCUGCUGCACUGGCAGCCCUUAAAAUCAGUGGCGGCGCCAUCUGGCUCUAAGCGUAGUAAUUCUUCUCGCUAUGGAGUCCUGGUGGAUGCUUGCCAUCAACCCCCAAUUUUUCUAUGGUUGACCUCGGAUCAGGUAGGGAUACCCGCUGAACUUAAGCAUAUCAAUAAGCGGAGGA